GACGAACGCUGGCGGCGUGCUUAACACAUGCAAGUCGAGCGGAGCGGCGAACGGGUGAGUAACGCGUGAGUAAUUGCCCCCCUCUCUGGGAUAACAGUUGGAAACGGUUGCUAAUACCGGAUAGUGGGGGAUGACUCGCGUCCUAUCAGCUUGUUGGUGGGGUAGUGGCCCACCAAGGGGACGACGGGUAGCCGGCCUGAGAGGGCGACCGGCCACAUUGGGCUGGGGUACGGCCCAAGCUCCUACGUGGGGCAGGAGUGGGGAAUAUUGCACAAUGGGGGAAACCCUGAUGCAGCAACGCCGCGUGCGGGAUGGCGGCCUUCGGGUUGGAAACCGCUUUCGGCCAUGACGCGGUAGUAGCAGAAGAAGCACCGGCUAACUACGUGCCAGCAGCCGCGGUAAUUC
rnacentral:rRNA from 1 species